rnacentral:rRNA from 1 species
UGUAGCAAGGUUAACCGAAUAGGGGAGCCGGAGGGAAACCGAGUCUUAAUUGGGCGUUAAGUUGCAGGGUAUAGACCCGAAACCCGGUGAUCUAGCCAUGGGCAGGUUGAAGGUUGGGUAACACUAACUGGAGGACCGAACCGACUAAUGUUGAAAAAUUAGCGGAUGACCUGUGGCUGGGGGUGAAAGGCCAAUCAAACCGGGAGAUAGCUGGUUCUCCCCGAAAGCUAUUUAGGUAGCGCCUCGUGAAUUCAUCUCCGGGGGUAGAGCACUGUUUCGGCUAGGGGGCCAUCCCGGCUUACCAACCCGAUGCAAACUGCGAAUACCGGAGAAUGUUAUCACGGGAGACACACGGCGGGUGCUAACGUCCGUCGUGAAGAGGGAAACAACCCAGACCGCCAGCUAAGGUCCCAAAGUCAUGGUUAAGUGGGAAACGAUGUGGGAAGGCCCAGACAGCCAGGAUGUUGGCUUAGAAGCAGCCAUCAUUUAAAGAAAGCGUAAUAGCUCACUGGUCGAGUCGGCCUGCGCGGAAGAUGUAACGGGGCUAAACCAUGCACCGAAGCUGCGGCAGCGACGCUGAUGCGUUGUUGGGUAGGGGAGCGUUCUGUAAGCCUGCGAAGGUGGCCUGUGAGGGUUGCUGGAGGUAUCAGAAGUGCGAAUGCUGACAUAAGUAACGAUAAAGCGGGUGAAAAGCCCGCUCGCCGGAAGACCAAGGGUUCCUGUCCAACGUUAAUCGGGGCAGGGUGAGUCGACCCCUAAGGCGAGGCCGAAAGGCGUAGUCGAUGGGAAACGGGUUAAUAUUCCCGUACUUGGUGUUACUGCGAAGGGGGGACGGAGAAGGCUAUGUUGGCCGGGCGACGGUUGUCCCGGUUUAAGCGUGUAGGUGUGUGUUCCAGGUAAAUCCGGUUCACUUUAACACUGAGGCGUGAUGACGAGGCACUACGGUGCUGAAGCAACAAAUGCCCUGCUUCCAGGAAAAGCCUCUAAGCAUCAGGUAACAUCAAAUCGUACCCCAAACCGACACAGGUGGUCAGGUAGAGAAUACCAAGGCGCUUGAGAGAACUCGGGUGAAGGAACUAGGCAAAAUGGUGCCGUAACUUCGGGAGAAGGCACGCUGACACGUAGGUGAAGUGAUUUACUCAUGGAGCUGAAGUCAGUCGAAGAUACCAGCUGGCUGCAACUGUUUAUUAAAAACACAGCACUGUGCAAACACGAAAGUGGACGUAUACGGUGUGACGCCUGCCCGGUGCCGGAAGGUUAAUUGAUGGGGUCAGCGCAAGCGAAGCUCCUGAUCGAAGCCCCGGUAAACGGCGGCCGUAACUAUAACGGUCCUAAGGUAGCGAAAUUCCUUGUCGGGUAAGUUCCGACCUGCACGAAUGGCGUAAUGAUGGCCAGGCUGUCUCCACCCGAGACUCAGUGAAAUUGAACUCGCUGUGAAGAUGCAGUGUACCCGCGGCAAGACGGAAAGACCCCGUGAACCUUUACUAUAGCUUGACACUGAACAUUGAGCCUUGAUGUGUAGGAUAGGUGGGAGGCUUUGAAGUGUGGACGCCAGUCUGCAUGGAGCCGGCCUUGAAAUACCACCCUUUAAUGUUUGAUGUUCUAACGUGGACCCGUGAUCCGGGUUGCGGACAGUGUCUGGUGGGUAGUUUGACUGGGGCGGUCUCCUCCUAAAGAGUAACGGAGGAGCACGAAGGUUGGCUAAUCCUGGUCGGACAUCAGGAGGUUAGUGCAAUGGCAUAAGCCAGCUUGACUGCGAGCGUGACGGCGCGAGCAGGUGCGAAAGCAGGUCAUAGUGAUCCGGUGGUUCUGAAUGGAAGGGCCAUCGCUCAACGGAUAAAAGGUACUCCGGGGAUAACAGGCUGAUACCGCCCAAGAGUUCAUAUCGACGGCGGUGUUUGGCACCUCGAUGUCGGCUCAUCACAUCCUGGGGCUGAAGUAGGUCCCAAGGGUAUGGCUGUUCGCCAUUUAAAGUGGUACGCGAGCUGGGUUUAGAACGUCGUGAGACAGUUCGGUCCCUAUCUGCCGUGGGCGCUGGAGAACUGAGGGGGGCUGCUCCUAGUACGAGAGGACCGGAGUGGACGCAUCACUGGUGUUCGGGUUGUCAUGCCAAUGGCACUGCCCGGUAGCUAAAUGCGGAAGAGAUAAGUGCUGAAAGCAUCUAAGCACGAAACUUGCCCCGAGAUGAGUUCUCCCUGAGACUUAGAGUCUCCUGAAGGAACGUUGAAGACGACGACGUUGAUAGGCCGGGUGUGUAAGCGCAGCGAUGCGUUGAGCUAACCGGUACUAAUGAACCGUGAGGCUUAACCUUACA